ANGGUAACAGGUUAAGCUGACGAGUGGCGAACGGGUGAGUAAUGCAUCGGAACGUGCCCGAUCGUGGGGGAUAACGCAGCGAAAGCUGCGCUAAUACCGCAUACGAUCUGAGGAUGAAAGCGGGGGACCGUAAGGCCUCGCGCGAUCGGAGCGGCCGAUGUCAGAUUAGGUAGUUGGUGGGGUAAAGGCCUACCAAGCCGACGAUCUGUAGCUGGUCUGAGAGGACGACCAACCACACUGGGACUGAGACACGGCCCAGACUCCUACGGGAGGCAGCAGUGGGGAAUUUUGGACAAUGGGCGCAAGCCUGAUCCAGCAAUGCCGCGUGCAGGAAGAAGGCCUUCGGGUUGUAAACUGCUUUUGUACGGAGCGAAAAGGCUCUCUCUAAUACAGGGGGCUCAUGACGGUACCGUAAGAAUAAGCACCGGCUAACUACGUGCCAGCAGCCGCGGUAAUACGUAGGGUGCGAGCGUUAAUCGGAAUUACUGGGCGUAAAGCGUGCGCAGGCGGUUUUGUAAGACAGGCGUGAAAUCCCCGGGCUCAACCUGGGAAUGGCGCUUGUGACUGCAAGGCUGGAGUGCGGCAGAGGGGGAUGGAAUUCCGCGUGUANCAGUGAAAUGCGUANAUAUGCGGAGGAACACCGAUGGCGAANGCAAUCCCCUGNGCCUGCACUGACGCUCAUGCACGAAAGCGUGGGGAGCAAACAGGANUANAUACCCUNNNAGUCCACGCCCUAAACGAUGUCAACUGGUUGUUGGNUAUUUACUUACUCAGUAACGAAGCUAACGCGUGANUUGACCGCCUGGGGAGUACGGCCGCANG
rnacentral:rRNA from 1 species